rnacentral:rRNA from 1 species
GUAAAUAAAUUGAAAACUACACGAAAUCUUAUCGAACUCAAAAAAGUUAACUUCAAUUUUACCAAAAAUACUCUUUAGGGAACCAUGGUUUG